rnacentral:rRNA from 1 species
AGAGUUUGAUCCUGGCUCAGGAUGAACGCUGGCUGUGUGCCUAAUACAUGCAUGUCGAGCGGAGUUCUUCGGAACUUAGCGGCGAAUGGGUGAGUAACACGUACUUAACGUGCCCCCUUAAUUGGGAUAACGCUGAGAAAUUAGCGCUAAUACCGGAUACUUAAAUAUCUCGCAUGAGGUAUUUAUAAAAGGAGCCUUUAAAGCUUCACAAGGGGAUCGGGGUGCGUAACAUUAGCUAGUUGGUGAGGUAAUGGCUCACCAAGGCGAUGAUGUUUAGCGGGGUUGAGAGACUGAUCCGCCACACUGGGACUGAGAUACGGCCCAGACUCCUACGGGAGGCAGCAGUAGGGAAUUUUCCACAAUGGGCGAAAGCCUGAUGGAGCGACACAGCGUGCAGGAUGAAGGCCUUCGGGUUGUAAACUGCUGUUAUAAGGGAAGAAAAAGUCGAGGAGGAAAUGCCUUGACCUUGACGGUACUUUAUCAGAAAGCAACGGCUAACUAUGUGCCAGCAGCCGCGGUAAUACAUAGGUUGCAAGCGUUAUCCGGAAUUAUUGGGCGUAAAGCGUCUGUAGGUUGUUUGUUAAGUCUGGUGUGAAAACUUGGGGCUCAACCCCAAAUUGCAUUGGAUACUGGCAAACUAGAAUUGUGUAGAGGUUAGCGGAAUUCCUUGUGAAGCGGUGGAAUGCGUAGAUAUAAGGAAGAACAUCAACAUGGCGAAGGCAGCUAACUGGACAUAUAUUGACACUGAGAGACGAAAGCGUGGGGAGCAAACAGGAUUAGAUACCCUGGUAGUCCACGCCGUAAACGAUGAUGAUUAGCUGAUGGGGAACUCAUCGGCGCAGCUAACGCAUUAAAUCAUCCGCCUGAGUAGUAUGCUCGCAAGAGUGAAACUUAAAGGAAUUGACGGGGAUCCGCACAAGCGGUGGAGCAUGUGGUUUAAUUUGAAGAUACGCGUAGAACCUUACCCACUCUUGACAUCUUCUGCAAAGCUAUAGAGAUAUAGUGGAGGUUAACAGAAUGACAGAUGGUGCAUGGUUGUCGUCAGCUCGUGUCGUGAGAUGUUCGGUUAAGUCCUGCAACGAGCGCAACCCUUGUCCUUAGUUAAACGUUCUAGGGAGACUGCCCGGGUAACCGGGAGGAAGGUGGGGACGACGUCAAAUCAUCAUGCCUCUUACGAGUGGGGCAACACACGUGCUACAAUGGAUGGUACAAAGAGACGCAAUACGGCGACGUGGAGCAAAUCUCAAAAAACCAUUCUCAGUUCGGAUUGUAGUCUGCAACUCGACUACAUGAAGUCGGAAUCGCUAGUAAUCGUAGAUCAGCUACGCUACGGUGAAUACGUUCUCGGGUCUUGUACACACCGCCCGUCACACCAUGGGAGCUGGUAAUGCCCGAAGUCGGUUUUGUUAACUACGGAGACAACUGCCUAAGGCAGGACUGGUGACUGGGGUGAAGUCGUAACAAGGUAUCCCUACGAGAACGUGGGGAUGGAUUACCU